ACGAACGCUGGCGGCGUGCUUAACACAUGCAAGUCGAACGGAAAGGCCCUGCUUUUGUGGGGUGCUCGAGUGGCGAACGGGUGAGUAACACGUGAGUAACCUGCCCUUGACUUUGGGAUAACUUCAGGAAACUGGGGCUAAUACCGGAUAGGAGCUCCUGCUGCAUGGUGGGGGUUGGAAAGUUUCGGCGGUUGGGGAUAGACUCGCGGCUUAUCAGCUUGUUGGUGGGGUAGUGGCUUACCAAGGCUUUGACGGGUAGCCGGCCUGAGAGGGUGACCGGCCACAUUGGGACUGAGAUACGGCCCAGACUCCUACGGGAGGCAGCAGUGGGGAAUAUUGCACAAUGGGCGGAAGCCUGAUGCAGCAACGCCGCGUGCGGGAUGACGGCCUUCGGGUUGUAAACCGCUUUCGCCUGUGACGAAGCGUGAGUGACGGUAAUGGGUAAAGAAGCACCGGCUAACUACGUGCCAGCAGCCGCGGUGAUACGUAGGGUGCGAGCGUUGUCCGGAUUUAUUGGGCGUAAAGGGCUCGUAGGUGGUUGAUCGCGUCGGAAGUGUAAUCUUGGGGCUUAACCCUGAGCGUGCUUUCGAUACGGGUUGACUUGAGGAAGGUAGGGGAGAAUGGAAUUCCUGGUGGAGCGGUGGAAUGCGCAGAUAUCAGGAGGAACACCAGUGGCGAAGGCGGUUCUCUGGGCCUUUCCUGACGCUGAGGAGCGAAAGCGUGGGGAGCGAACAGGCUUAGAUACCCUGGUAGUCCACGCUGUAAACGGUGGGUACUAGGUGUGGGGUCCAUUCCACGGGUUCCGUGCCGUAGCUAACGCUUUAAGUACCCCGCCUGGGGAGUACGGCCGCAAGGCUAAAACUCAAAGGAAUUGACGGGGCCCCGCACAAGCGGCGGAGCAUGCGGAUUAAUUCGAUGCAACGCGUAGAACCUUACCUGGGUUUGACAUGGAUCGGGAGUGCUCAGAGAUGGGUGUGCCUCUUUUGGGGUCGGUUCACAGGUGGUGCAUGGCUGUCGUCAGCUCGUGUCGUGAGAUGUUGGGUUAAGUCCCGCAACGAGCGCAACCCUUGUUCACUGUUGCCAGCACGUUAUGGUGGGGACUCAGUGGAGACCGCCGGGGUCAACUCGGAGGAAGGUGGGGAUGGCGUCAAGUCAUCAUGCCCCUUAUGUCCAGGGCUUCACGCAUGCUACAAUGGCUGGUACAGAGAGUGGCGAGCCUGUGAGGGUGAGCGAAUCUCGGAAAGCCGGUCUCAGUUCGGAUUGGGGUCUGCAACUCGACCUCAUGAAGUCGGAGUCGCUAGUAAUCGCAGAUCAGCAACGCUGCGGUGAAUACGUUCCCGGGGCUUGUACACACCGCCCGUCAAGUCAUGAAAGUUGGUAACACCCGAAGCCGGUGGCCUAACCGUUGUGGGGGAGCCGUCGAAGGUGGGACUGGUGAUUAGG
rnacentral:rRNA from 1 species